GUGGGGAAUAUUGGACAAUGGGCGAAAGCCUGAUCCAGCCAUGCCGCGUGUGUGAAGAAGGUCUUCGGAUUGUAAAGCACUUUAAGUUGGGAGGAAGGGCAGUAAGUUAAUACCUUGCUGUUUUGACGUUACCGACAGAAUAAGCACCGGCUAACUUCGUGCCAGCAGCCGCGGUCAUACGUAGGGUGCAAGCAUUAUCCGGAGUGACUGGGCGUAAAGAGUUGCGUAGGCGGUUAUGUAAGCGAAUAGUGAAACCUGGUGGCUCAACAACACAGACUAUUAUUCGAACUGCAUAACUCGAGAAUGGUAGAGGUAACUGGAAUUUCUUGUGUAGGAGUGAAAUCCGUAGAUAUAAGAAGGAACACCAAUGGCGUAGGCAGGUUACUGGGCCAUUUCUGACGCUAAGGCACGAAAGCGUGGGGAGCGAACCGGAUUAGAUACCCGGGUAGUCC
rnacentral:rRNA from 1 species